GAAGCGGUGGCCUAAAGGUUAGUGCGUUGGACUCCGGAUUGAGCGGUUCGGGUUCGAGCCCUGGCCGGGGUUCA